UACAGAGGGUGCGAGCGUUAAUCGGAAUUACUGGGCGUAAAGGGUGCGUAGGUGGUUGCAUAAGUUAGGUGUGAAAGUCCUGGGCUUAACCUGGGGAUUGCGCCUAAGACUGUGUAGCUAGAGUACUGUAGAGGAAGGUGGAAUUUCCAGUGUAGCGGUGAAAUGCGUAGAUAUUGGAAGGAACAUCGGUGGCGAAGGCGACCUUCUGGACAGAUACUGACACUGAGGCACGAGAGCAUGGGGAGCAAACAGG
rnacentral:rRNA from 1 species